UGGUUCUGGCAUCGAUGAAGAACGCAGCGAAAUGCGAUAAGUAAUGUGAAUUGCAGAAUUCAGUGAAUCAUCGAAUCUUUGAACGCAUAUUGCGCCCAUUAGUAUUCUAGUGGGCAUGCCUGUUCGAGCGUCAUUUUAACCCUUAAGCCCUUGCUGCUUAGCGUUGGGAGCCUACGGCCUGCUGUAGUUCCUUAAAGUUAGUGGCGGAGUUAGUUCACACUCUAGACGUAGUAACUUUGUAUCUCGCCUAUAGAUGAGCUGGCGCCCUGCCGUAAAACCCCCUAAUCUUUAUAAGGUUGACCUCGGAUCAGGUAGGAAUACCCGCUGA
rnacentral:misc_RNA from 1 species